rfam:Homo sapiens chromosome 4, GRCh38 reference primary assembly.
GUAAAGGUUUUCCUUAAAACCACUUCAAGUAACAAUUUUUUGAUAU